GAGGUUGGUUUCAGCCCGGUGUCUCACCGUCUCCAGACGUCUGGGAACUUCGUGAUCUACAGUGAUGCUUCUAAGAAGGGUUUGGGUUGUGUGCUUAUGUAAUAUGGUAGGGUGGUCGCCUAUGCCUUCCGACAGUUGAAGAACCAUGAGCGCAACUAUCUUACCCACGACUUGAAAUUGGCAGCGGUAGUGUUUACCCUAAAGAUCUGGAGACACUACUUGUAUGGGGAAAAGAUUCAAGUGUUCACCGACCACAAUAGUCUUAAAUACUUCUUCACCCAGAAAGAGUUAAACACGAGGCAGCGCAGGUGGCUCGAUUUAUUAAAGGAUUAUGACUGUAAGAUCCUCUACCACCCAGGUAAGGCGAAUGUGGUAGUCGAUGCCCUCAGUCAAAAGAUCACUAAGAGGUUCAGUUGUGUAAAGAUCUAGAACGAGCAAAGAUUGCAGUGGCAGUGGGGGAAGUCACUUCACAGCUAGCCCAGUUAACAGUGCAACCAACCUUGAGGCAAUAGAUUAUUGAUGCACAGCAGGAUGAUCCCGACCUGGUUCAAAAGUGUUGUCAGGUAUGGUCAGGUCAGGCAAGUGAAUUUUCUUUGUCAGUGGACGAGGGUCUUUUGUAUCAGGGACGGUUGUGCGUCCCAACAGAUGAUGGCUUGAAAGAUGAACUGUUGGUAGAAGCUCAUAACUCUUCAUUCUCGAUGCACCCAGGUAGUACCAAAAUGUACCAAGAUGUGAAACGGUAUUACUGGUGGCCCGAUAUGAAAAGGGAGAUAGUUGAAUAUGUCAAUAGAUGUUUAGUCUGCCAGUAGGUGAAGGCCCCGAGGUAGAAGAUAGCAAGCUUGCUACAACCAUUGGAUGUGCCAUAAUGGAAAUGGGAGAGUGUGGCAAUGGAUUUUAUUAUGGGGUUGCCUAGGAUAGCGAAGGGUUUUUCGGUGAUUUGGGUUGUGAUAAAAGACUCACCAAGGUGGCACAUUUUAUUCCAGGAAAGCUCACGUAUGUGGUGAGUAAGUGGGCUUAGUUAUAAAUGAAGGAGAUAGUAAGGUUGCAUGGUGUGCCAGUGUCAAUUGUGUCCGACAGGGACCCUCGUUUCACCUCCAGUUUUUGGAAGAGCCUUCAGGCAGUUUUAAGGUCGCGGUUGAACUUCAGUAUAACGUUUCACCCCCAAACUGAUGGGCAAACAAAACGUUUAAGUCAGACAUUAGAGGACAUGUUGCGCGCUUGUGCGUUGGAAUUCUCAGGGGGUUGGGACUCCCACUUACAUUUGGCAGAGUUUACUUAUAAUAAUAGCUAUCAGGCUAACAUUGGCAUGUCACCUUUGAGGCUCUUUAUAGCAAAGGUUGCAGAUCUCUUAUUUACUGGGGUGAGAUUGGGGAGAGGAAACUGGUGGGGACUGAGUUAGUGGAGUUGACGAAUGAAGCCAUGCAGAAGAUCAGGGCUAGAAUGCCAGCGGCGUAAAGUAGACAGAAAAGUUAUGCGGAUGUUAGGCAUAAAGAUCUGGAGUUUGAAGCAGGUGACAAGGUGUUCUGGAAAGUGGAGCCGAUGAAGGGUGUCCUGAGAUUCGGGAAGAAGGGUAAGCUAAGUUCGCGUUUUGUAGGGCCAUUCGAGAUCUUGGAGCGGGUCGGCUCUGUGGCUUACCGAUUGCGCUUACCACCGUCUCUCUCCACGGUCCAUAAUGUAUUUCAUGUCUCCAUGCUGAGGAAGUAUUUAAUAGACCCGUCUCAUGUGGUGGACUUUGAGCCCUUACAAAUGAAUGAAAACUUGAGUUACGAGGAGAAGCCCACGCAAAUUGUGGCCAGGGAGGUGAAAGUUUUGCGCAGCAAGGAGAUGCCACUGGUGCAGGUUAUGUGGCAGAAUCAUCAGUUUGAGGAAGCAACUUGGGAGCGAGAGGACGAGAUGAGGGCACUACAUCCAUAGCUCUUCUAGGAUUAGAACUUUCGAGGACGAAAGUUUAUUAAAGGGGGGAAGAGUGUGAUGCCCCAAAGUUUAAAAAAAAAGAAGAAGAAAUAAAUGGUUAAUUUGGGAAAAGGAAGAUGGAUGUAGGGUUAUAAAAAUUGGGGGUCAUUGGGAUGCGUGCAAAAGGAAAAAAAAAAGAAAUUAUUUUUUCUUCUUCAUCUUCCUUCUUCAUUCCGUGAAAAACCCCCUUCACUUUCAAUCACCGCUGCUCGCCGUCAACCAAGCCUGUUCGCCGAUCGUCGUUUUCGUCAUCGACCACGCGAGUUCGCCGAUCGUUCUUCUUCUCCGUGCCGCCGCUCGACCUGACGCAGAUGAAGCCAUUGAAGCAGGAGUUUGCGAGGCCCUCGUUUUCGCCGUCGAUCGAGUCCUAAGCCACCGAACGUUGAAGUCGCGAGCCUGUUCGUCGACCCGACGUAGAGGAAGCCGUCGAAUGCUAAAGUCGCGAGCCGCGCCGUCUUCUCCGUCUGCCUACCACUGGUUCGGGUCGUUGUGGAUCGCGGUGGUUCCAACUGUUCCGUCUGUUCGGGGAACGUGUGGCGAUGAAGGAAGUUCUCGAGCGGAGUAAUAUCUCGUUUUGGGACAGUUCGUUAUCCUGAGGUAAGAGUAAUGACAGACUGGUGCAUGACAACAGAGAUUCGUGACCUGGCCAUUAGGACGAUUCACUGCUUCCGCAUAUAGUAUCAUGUUUUGAAAUCUGGUUUGGGAGUUAGGCGCCUUACACUUUUAUGCAAAAUAUAUCAAUUUUAUUAUUUGACUAUUUAAUUUCCUUUAUUUGUUUCUAGUAGGGUUUAGGGGUACCCUGAAUAGUAAAUUAUUUUAUUUUAUUUUGCUUUAGUUUAUUUAUUAUUAUUAAUUAUGUUUUCAUAUCUUUGCUCGUUUGAGCAUUAUUAAAUAAAAUUUUGGGUCUUG